UACGGAGGGUGCAAGCGGUGUUCGGACUCACUGGGCGUAAAGGGCGCGUCGGCGGUUUGAUAAGUCAGAUGUGAAAGCCCACGGCUUAACUGUGGAAGUGCAUUUGAAACUGUCAGACUUGAGUAUCAGAGGGGAAAGUGGAAUUCCCGGUGUAGAGGUGAAAUUCGUAGAUAUCGGGAGGAAUACCAGUGGCGAAGGCGCCUUUCUGGCUCAAUACUGACGCUGAGGUGCGAAAGCGUGUAGAGCAAACAGG
rnacentral:rRNA from 1 species